UGUGUAGGUGGUGUCGUAAGUUUGGUGUGAAAUCUCCCGGCUUAACUGGGAGGGUGCGCCGAAGACUGCGAUGCUUGAGUAUGGGAGAGGAAAGCGGAAUUCCUGGUGUAGCGGUGAAAUGCGUAGAUAUCAGGAGGAACACCUACGGUGUAGACGGCUUUCUGGACCAUUACUGACACUGAGACACGAAAGCGUGGGUAGCAAACA
rnacentral:rRNA from 1 species